GAUAGAUUUUUUAUGUUUUUCAUAAUUUAUUAUAAAUUUAUUUUACAUAUAAAUUAUAGUAUUAAAUUUUAAUAAUUUUAAUAAUAAUUAAUUAAUAUUUAUAGUAAUUAAAAUUAAAAAUUUAAGAAAUUAAGAUUUAGUAAUAUAAAAAUUAAUAACUAAUUUUGUGCCAGCAGUUGCGGUUAAACAAAAGUUAAAUUAAAUUAUUUCAGUAUUUAAUUAAUAAAAUAAAUUAAAAAAAAUAUUAAAUUAUUAAGUGAAAUUUUAAUUUAAUUAAAUUUUAUAGAAUAUUUUUAUGAUUUAAUAAAUUUAAAAAUAAACUAGGAUUAGAUACCCUAUUAUUAUAAAUUUAAUUAUUAAUACUAAAAUAGUAAAUAAUAUAUUAUUGAAACUUAAAUAAUAUGGCGGUAUUUUAGUUCAUUUAGAGGAAUCUGUCUAAUAAUUGAUAAUCCACGAAUAAAUUUACUUGAUUUAUAAUUUUGUAUAUCAUUGUUAAAAAAAUAUUUUUAAAUAAUUUAUAAUAUUUUAAAAUUUAAAAUAAAAAUUAAUUCAGAUCAUGAUGCAGAUUAUAAUUAAGAUUAAGAUGGAUUACAAUAAAAAUAUUUAAACGAAAAAAAUUUUGUAAAAUUUAAUUGAAGGUGGAUUUAAAUGUAAUUUUAAUUAAUUAAUUAAAAUGAUUAAAAAUUGAAAUAUGUACAUAUUGCCCGUCACUUUCAUUUAAAAAUUGAAAUAAGUCGUAACAAAGUAGAGGUACUGGAAAGUGUUUCUAGAAUGAA
rnacentral:ncRNA from 1 species